rnacentral:lncRNA from 1 species
GAGCCCCUGCAGCCCGCAGGCACCUGCCUGCUGCAGGCCCCCGGCCGCCCCGGCCCCCCGCCAGCUGUUUUUCAGGUGCCUGCACACCAGGGCCAGGUGCUCCCUGUGCCCUGCACCCUGCCUGGCAGCUGGGACCUGCUGCUGGAGCCAGGUGAACAUGCCGUGGUGCUCAGGGAGGAUCAGGGGCACCCAGCGCCCACCAUCAGAUGCCCCCGGACAGAAACUGCUCCACUCACCCGCAGCACCACGACUCUGGAACCUGAUGCCGUGAUGAAAAGCUCAGAUGUGCCAGACAACACUGUGGACAUGGAGGCUCUGCUCACCUGGAGCAAUGAUGUGGCAAGUGCUCUUGAGGUUCCCCAGGAGAACCCCAGCAGCCCUGCUUCCCCUUGUUUCAUCGCUGAGCUCCCUGACAACCCCAGCGACAGCAGAGAGCUCAGCACGGAGGGACCGGCUGCCUCCAGGACCCGCACUGACCCCUUCUGGGGGCUUCCACCGUCCCCUGGGCUCCUGCCUGAGAUGCAGCAUGGGUUGGCGCCGCUGCCCCUCGUCGUGCCACCAGCAAAUCCCCGGCCGGCCCCCCUGGUUGUCACCAAACCUCCCUCACCCCUCACAGCACAGCCCAUGGAGGAGGUGCAGAAAAGGCGGCCCCAGGGGGUUCAGACCCACCCACCAGUGUCACCGGGCUCUGUCCCCUGCCGGGGGGCAGAGAAGAAAUGCAAGGGCAGCGCCAGGCGGGCCAAGCACCCUGCGCCUGCCAGCACCCCCCAGAAAGGGAAGACCUCCAGCCAUAAGCAGCCCACCAGCGGAGCACCAGACAGGAAAAGAAAGCUGCCACUACACAAGGAGAGAAAAGGCUGCAAACACCCACAUCAAGCAAAGGUGGCUGGGGUCAGCGCAGGAGCCAGCAGCACAGGACAAGCGGGCAACUCCAGCGAGCUGCGCAGACACUUGCUGGAAUCCAUCCAGGCCCUACACCCGCUGGGGCAGAGGGUGACUGCGGUGGGGCCGGUACGCCAGCCACCCUCUGAGCAGCCCCAACCCACACCCANGGCUUACAGGCCAGGCUCAGCGCAACCCGGAGGGCUGCUCAGCCAGUAUAAGAGGCCAGGCUCAGCGCAACCCGGAGGGCUGCUCAGCAAGGCUAACAGGCCAGGCUCAGCGCAACCCGGAGGGCUUUUCAGCAAGGCUAAGAGGCCCGGCUCAGCGCAACCCGGAGAGUUGCUCAGCUAG